rnacentral:rRNA from 1 species
AGAGUUUGAUCCUGGCUCAGGAUGAACGCUGGCGGCGUGCCUAAUACAUGCAAGUCGAGCGAAUGGAUUAAGAGCUUGCUCUUAUGAAGUUAGCGGCGGACGGGUGAGUAACACGUGGGUAACCUGCCCGUAAGACUGGGAUAACUCCGGGAAACCGGGGCUAAUACCGGAUAAUAUUUUGAACUGCAUGGUUCGAAAUUGAAAGGCGGCUUCGGCUGUCACUUAUGGAUGGACCCGCGUCGCAUUAGCUAGUUGGUGAGGUAACGGCUCACCAAGGCAACGAUGCGUAGCCGACCUGAGAGGGUGAUCGGCCACACUGGGACUGAGACACGGCCCAGACUCCUACGGGAGGCAGCAGUAGGGAAUCUUCCGCAAUGGACGAAAGUCUGACGGAGCAACGCCGCGUGAGUGAUGAAGGCUUUCGGGUCGUAAAACUCUGUUGUUAGGGAAGAACAAGUGCUAGUUGAAUAAGCUGGCACCUUGACGGUACCUAACCAGAAAGCCACGGCUAACUACGUGCCAGCAGCCGCGGUAAUACGUAGGUGGCAAGCGUUAUCCGGAAUUAUUGGGCGUAAAGCGCGCGCAGGUGGUUUCUUAAGUCUGAUGUGAAAGCCCACGGCUCAACCGUGGAGGGUCAUUGGAAACUGGGAGACUUGAGUGCAGAAGAGGAAAGUGGAAUUCCAUGUGUAGCGGUGAAAUGCGUAGAGAUAUGGAGGAACACCAGUGGCGAAGGCGACUUUCUGGUCUGUAACUGACACUGAGGCGCGAAAGCGUGGGGGAGCAAACAGGAUUAGAUACCC